rnacentral:rRNA from 1 species
GUUGUAUAGUUAAGUGACUAAGCGUACACGGUGGAUGCCUAGGCGGUAGAAGGCGAUGAAGGACGUGAUAGCCUGCGAUAAGCUCUGGUGAGGUGGCAAAUAACCUUUGACCCAGAGAUUUCCGAAUGGGAAAACCCAUCCUUUAUGGAUAACCUCUUAUGAGGUGGCUAACCCGGAGAACUGAAACAUCUAAGUACCCGGAGGAAAAGAAAUCAACCGAGAUUCCCUAAGUAGCGGCGAGCGAACGGGGACCAGCCCUUAAGCUGAUAUUGGAUUAGUAGAAUAGUCUGGAAAGUCUAACGAUACAGGGUGAUAGUCCCGUAUACGAAAAUCUUUUAUUGGUGAAAUCGAGUAGGACGGAACACGUGAAAUUCUGUCUGAACAUGGGGGGACCACCCUCCAAGGCUAAAUACUCUCUACCGACCGAUAGUGAACCAGUACCGUGAGGGAAAGGCGAAAAGAACCCCUGAAGGGGAGUGAAAUAGAACCUGAAACCGUGUACGUACAAGCAGUAGGAGCAUACUUGUUAUGUGACUGCGUACCUUUUGUAUAAUGGGUCAGCGACUUACAUUAUGUAGCGAGGUUAACCGAAUAGGGGAGCCGUAGGGAAACCGAGUCUUAAAUGGGCGUCUAGUUGCAUGGUGUAGACCCGAAACCGGGCGAUCUAUCCAUGGCCAGGUUGAAGGUGCCGUAACAGGUACUGGAGGACCGAACCCACGUAUGUUGAAAAAUGCGGGGAUGAGUUGUGGAUCGGAGUGAAAGGCUAAUCAAGCCCGGAGAUAGCUGGUUCUCCUCGAAAUCUAUUUAGGUAGAGCCUCAUGUCUCACUGCUGGGGGUAGAGCACUGUUAUGGUCUAGCGGCCCGUCAAGGGUUAGCAGCCCAUUGCAAACUCCGAAUACCAGCAAGUGCAAUCAUGGGAGACAGACUGCGGGUGCUAACGUCCGUAGUCAAGAGGGAAACAACCCAGACCGCCAUCUAAGGUCCCUAAAUAUUACUAAGUGGGAAAGGAUGUGGGAAGGCUUAGACAGUCAGGAGGUUGGCUUAGAAGCAGCCACCCUUUAAAGAAAGCGUAAUAGCUCACUGAUCGAGUCGGCCUGCGCCGAAGAUUUAACGGGGCUAAGUAAUAUACCGAAGAUGCGGAUGCGUGUUUACACGCAUGGUAGAGGAGCGUUCUGUAAGCCUGCGAAGGGGCAUUGUAAAGUGUCCUGGAGGUAUCAGAAGUGCGAAUGCUGACAUGAGUAGCGAUAAAGGGAGUGAAAAGCUCCCUCGCCGAAAGACCAAGGUUUCCUACGCAACGUUAAUCGACGUAGGGUUAGUCGACCCCUAAGGCGAGGCUGAGAAGCGUAGUCGAUGGGAAGCAGGUUAAUAUUCCUGCACUAUUUAUUACUGCGAUGGAGGGACGGAGUAGGCUAGAUCAGCUUGGCGAUGGUUGUCCAAGUUUAAGAUUGUAGGCAUGUAUCUUAGGCAAAUCCGGGAUACUUUAUGCUGAGAAUUGAUGACGAGUCCUCUUUUGGACGAAGUGAUUGAUGCCAUGCUUCCAAGAAAAGCUUCUAAGCUUCAGGUAAUAAAUAAUCGUACCCCAAACCAACACAGGUGGUCAGGAUGAGAAUUCUAAGGCGCUUGAGAGAACUCGGCUGAAGGAACUAGGCAAAAUGGUACCGUAACUUCGGGAGAAGGUACGCCUCCUAACGUGAAGGACUUGCUCCGUAAGCGUCUGGAGGUUGCAAUAAACUGGUGGCUGCAACUGUUUACUAAAAACAUAGCACUCUGCAAAAUCGAAAGAUGAAGUAUAGGGUGUGACGCCUGCCCGGUGCCGGAAGGUUAAUUGAUGGGGUUAGCAUUAGCGAAGCUCUUGAUCGAAGCCCCGGUAAACGGCGGCCGUAACUAUAACGGUCCUAAGGUAGCGAAAUUCCUUGUCGGGUAAGUUCCGACCUGCACGAAUGGCGUAAUGAUGGCCACACUGUCUCCAGCCGAGACUCAGCGAAAUUGAAAUCGCAGUUAAGAUGCUGCGUACCCGCGGCUAGACGGAAAGACCCCGUGAACCUUUACUACAGCUUUGCACUGGACUUUGAUACUAUCUGUGUAGGAUAGGUGGGAGGCUUUGAAACUGUGACGCCAGUUGCAGUGGAGCCAUCCUUGAAAUACCACCCUGAUAUUAUUGAGGUUCUAACCUCGGGCAGUGAAUCCUGCUCAGGGACAGUGUAUGGUGGGUAGUUUGACUGGGGCGGUCUCCUCCUAAAGAGUAACGGAGGAGCGCGAAGGUACCCUCAGCACGGUCGGACAUCGUGCAAUGAGCGCAAGAGUAAAAGGGUGCUUGACUGCGAGACAGACACGUCGAGCAGGUGCGAAAGCAGGUUCUAGUGAUCCGGUGGUUCUGUGUGGAAGGGCCAUCGCUCAACGGAUAAAAGGUACUCCGGGGAUAACAGGCUGAUACCGCCCAAGAGUUCAUAUCGACGGCGGUGUUUGGCACCUCGAUGUCGGCUCAUCACAUCCUGGGGCUGAAGUCGGUCCCAAGGGUAUGGCUGUUCGCCAUUUAAAGUGGUACGCGAGCUGGGUUUAGAACGUCGUGAGACAGUUCGGUCCCUAUCUGCCGUGGGCGUUGGAAAAUUGAGAGGGGCUGCUCCUAGUACGAGAGGACCGGAGUGGACGAACCCCUGGUGUUCCGGUUGUGAUGCCAAUUGCAUUGCCGGGUAGCUAUGUUCGGAAAGGAUAACCGCUGAAAGCAUCUAAGCGGGAAACCUGCCUCAAGAUAAGUUUUCCCUAGACUUUAAGUCUUCUGAAGGGCCGUUAGAGACUAUGACGUUGAUAGGCAAGAUGUGGAAGUGCAGUAAUGUAUGAAGCUAACUUGUACUAAUUACCCGUGAGGCUUAACUAUACAACUCAAAAG